GAUGAACGCUGGCGGUAUGCCUAACACAUGCAAGUCGUACGAGAGUUUUUAACUCUAGUGGCGGACGGGUGAGUAACACGUGAGAAUUUGCCUUUAGGAGGGGGAUAACAAUUGGAAACGAAUGCUAAUACCCCAUAUGCUUUUGAGUGAAAUGGAUUUUAUCCGCCUAGAGAGAAGCUCGCGGCUGAUUAGCUUGUUGGUAAGGUAAGAGCUUACCAAGGCGACGAUCAGUAUCUGGUUUGAGAGGACGAUCAGACACACUGGAACUGAGACACGGUCCAGACUCCUACGGGAGGCAGCAGUGGGGAAUUUUCCGCAAUGGGCGAAAGCCUGACGGAGCAAUACCGCGUGGAGGGAAGAAUGCCCUAUGGGUUGUAAACC
rnacentral:rRNA from 1 species